UCCAUAGGCACCCACAGGAAGGAGAAGCAGGCCUCCUGAGCCCUGCUGGGCCAGGGGAAAGAGGAGCCUCCUCCCUGGCAGGGUACCCUGGGAAUUCUGAGGCCCCAGAGCACGAAGCUGAAGGCUGCUCAGCUUGGCCACCCUGAGAGGGCUGCAACUCACACAGGCAGAGCCGCUCCCAGCGAGCAUCCCACUUCUCGUUCAUCUCCUUCCGCCGGGACACCACCUGCCGAAGCUUCUCCUGGAUCUGUGUGAGAGAAGGGAGGACAGCUGAGCCUGGGUGACCCCUUCCCCUGCCGAGGCAGCGUGGAUGUCCAUGGUACGGGAAAACAGGCUGGACUUGCUCACAGGAGCCUGGUUUCAGCCUUGGCCCUCCACUUGCCAGCGCUGUGCGGCCUUGGGUAA